rnacentral:rRNA from 1 species
AGAGUUUGAUCCUGGCUCAGGACGAACGCUGGCGGCGUGCUUAACACAUGCAAGUCGAGCGGAAAGGCCCUUCGGGGUACUCGAGCGGCGAACGGGUGAGUAACACGUGAGUAACCUGCCCUGGACUUUGGGAUAACCCUCGGAAACGGGGGCUAAUACCGGAUACGACGACCAAUCGCAUGGUUUGGUUGUGGAAAGUUUUUCGGUCUGGGAUGGGCUCGCGGCCUAUCAGCUUGUUGGUGGGGUGAUGGCCUACCAAGGCGACGACGGGUAGCCGGCCUGAGAGGGCGACCGGCCACACUGGGACUGAGACACGGCCCAGACUCCUACGGGAGGCAGCAGUGGGGAAUAUUGCACAAUGGGCGGAAGCCUGAUGCAGCGACGCCGCGUGAGGGAUGACGGCCUUCGGGUUGUAAACCUCUUUCAGCAGGGACGAAGCGCAAGUGACGGUACCUGCAGAAGAAGCGCCGGCCAACUACGUGCCAGCAGCCGCGGUAAGACGUAGGGCGCGAGCGUUGUCCGGAUUUAUUGGGCGUAAAGAGCUCGUAGGCGGCUUGUCACGUCGACUGUGAAAACCCGCGGCUCAACCGCGGGCCUGCAGCCGAUACGGGCAGGCUAGAGUUCGGUAGGGGAGACUGGAAUUCCUGGUGUAGCGGUGAAAUGCGCAGAUAUCAGGAGGAACACCGGUGGCGAAGGCGGGUCUCUGGGCCGAUACUGACGCUGAGGAGCGAAAGCGUGGGGAGCGAACAGGAUUAGAUACCCUAGUAGUCC